ensembl:lncRNA
CGUUACAACAUUUUAUAUUUACAUAAUUUUUUAAAAAGUUUAAAAACAAAAACGAAAAACGUGUAUAUAUGUAUACUACAUUUUUUUUUAGCAUACUUUUGUUUAAGCAUUAUGGAAAUAAAAACAAGGAUAUAGUCUAACACUUCAUCACAUAAAUAUAUAUAUGUAUACUCAUACGUCAGUGUAAAAAAGUGUACUGUAGACAUUUAAGAACUUGAAGAGAAGAAAAUAAAAAAAUUUCUAAAAAAUAAACAAGUAUAAUUAUAAGUUUUGGCUUUAUAGUUUAUUGCUUUUGCUUUGUUUAAUUGACCACUGAAAAGUUUUACAGAUGUACAUUUACUCGUUGUUAACAUAUGUACGUAUGCAUGUAUGCAAGUGCAUAUAUAUAUAUAUAUAUAUGUAUAUAUAUGCUUAUAUAUGUACAUUGUUUAUGUGUGUAUAUGUACAUUUGUUUUACUUCUAAUAUAAAACUUAUAAAUAAAUAUAAAAAAAAUCACGGUUUAACAUAAUUGCAAAAAAAAAAACUAAAAUCUCUUAAAGGAACAAUACUAUAAAAGAAAAUACCACGAAACGGAAUAUUUUCAUAUGAAUGCCUAAUAUAUAGACGCAAAUACGAAUAUAUACAUAAAACAAAUUUUACACCACUAUUUACUACUAUUGCUCUUAACUUUAUUUUUACAAUUUCGUGUAAAUAUCAUGGGUUUAUCAGAAAACCCCAAGCUUUUUUUGCUAGGCAAAAAAUUGAUUAAAUAUAGAAAAAUUAUAGGAAUCACAGUUUCAAUUUUAGGUUUUGUUUAUUUUUGUUUUUUUCACAAGAUUAACAAAGAAGCAGUGUUAGAUGCACGGAUGUUUAGCUUGUAUCCUGGUAGUUCCGUUUUAAACGUGUCAGAUGAAGAGUUUAUGCAAAAAGUAAAUAGUUAUUUUUUAAAUUACGAUUAUAAAGAAGAUGAACAUAUAAUAGAUAUAAUACAGAGUUAUAUUGAAAGUAUAUCUUUAUUAACUCAAGUAGAAAAACAUAAAAUAAAAGUAAAUGACUUGGUUGAUGAUUAUAUAUUAGUUAGUAAUGUUGCUUGUAAAUUUUGUAAUACUUUAGAGAAUUUAAUAGUUGUAAUAAAUUUUUACUACAAUGAAAGGCAAUAUUUUCAUGCUGUGAAUGUUGGAUUAACAUUGAUAAAUCAUUUUUCAAAUUGUAACUAUCUGAGUAAAGAUGUAACAUUUUUAUUUAUUAACAGAGCAUUACCAUAUUCAUUAGGAAUACAGAAAUUUAUUGAAUUAUAUUUUUAUAAUAACAAUUAUAAUCAAAAUGGCAUUUUUAGAGGAGCAGUGAUAAUAGAAUUUGAUCAUAUGUAUGCAUCACAGAUACAAAUAAAUUAUGAAGGCUUAAAUGGAAUAUUACCUAAUCAGGAUAUGAUUAUUUUACUAACAGAAGAGUUAUUUGAAUAUAAUAUCCCUACGAAAGUACAACCAGUCUAUAACGUAAUAUAUGAUAUGGCUUUUGAAAAAUCCCAUGAAAAAGGACAUAUACAUUUUUUAAGGUAACUUAUACAGUUG